rnacentral:piRNA from 1 species
UUAAAUGGUCUCAAAGUGUCUUCUUGUACU